GGAUGUGAGGGCGAUCUGGCUGCGACACCUGUCACCCCAUUGAUCGCCAGGGUUGAUUCGGCUGAUCUGGCUGGCUAGGCGGGUGUCCCCUUCCUCCCUCACCGCUCCAUGUGCGUCCCUCCCGAAGCUGCGCGCUGGGUCGAAGAGGAUGACCAUCCCCGCUAGAGGAGGACCGGUCUUCGGUCAAGGCUAUACGAGUAGCUGCGCUCCCCUGCUAGAACCUCCAAACAAGCUCUCAAGGUCCAUUUGUAGGAGAACAUAGGGUAGUCAAGCUUCCAAGACUCCAGACACAUCCAAAUGAGGCGCUGCAUGUGGCAGUCUGCCUUUCUAA
ensembl:misc_RNA 7SK 7SK RNA